GCUUGCUUCGGCAACAUAUAUACUAAAAUUGGAAUGAUACAGAGAAGAUUUGCACGGCCCCUGAUCAAGGGUGACAAGCAAAUUUGUGAAGCGUUCCAUAUUUUU